rnacentral:rRNA from 1 species
CAAAAACAUGUCUUUUUGAUUAUAAUUUAAAGUCUAACCUGCCCAAUGAGGAGUUAAAUGGCCGCGGUAUUUUGACCGUGCAAAGGUAGCAUAAUCAUUAGUUUUUUAAUUGAAAGCUGGUAUGAAUGGUUGGACGAGAAAAUAACUGUCUCGGUUUAAAUUAAAUUAGAAUUUUAUUUAUGAGUAAAAAAGCUCAUAUGAGUUUAAAAGACGAGAAGACCCUAUAGAAUUUAAUAUAUGUAUAUAUAUAUUAUUUUUAGUAUUAAUAAUAAGUUAUAUAUAAUUAUAUUUUGUUGGGGUGAUGGAAAAAUUAAAUUAACUUUUUUUAUAUAAAAACAUUAAUGUAUGAAAAAAUGAUCCGUUAAUUACGAUUAUAAGAUUAAAUUACCUUAGGGAUAACAGCGUAAUUUUUUUUUAGAGUUUUUAUCGAAAAAAGAGUUUGCGACCUCGAUGUUGGAUUAAAAUUAACUUUUGGUGUAGGGGCU